rnacentral:rRNA from 1 species
AACGAACGCUGGCGGCGCGUCUUAAGCAUGCAAGUCGAGCGGCAAGGUUCAGCAAUGGACCCUAGAGCGGCGGACUGGUGAGUAACGCGUGGGUGACCUGCCUGAGGGCCGGGGAUAGCCGUUAGAAAUAGCGGGUAAUACCGGAUACGUUGCAGAUACUGCGGUGUCUGCAGGAAAGGGGCUACGGCCCCGCCCUAAGGAUGGCCCGCGUCCCAUUAGCUUGUUGGUUAGGUAACGGCUGACCAAGGCGAAGAUGGGUAGCCGGCCUGAGAGGGCGAACGGCCACACUGGGACUGAGAUACGGCCCAGACUCCUACGGGAGGCAGCAGCUAAGAAUAUUCCGCAAUGGACGCAAGUCUGACGGAGCGACGCCGCGUGGACGAGGAAGGCCGAAAGGUUGUAAAGUUCUUUUGCGGGCGAUGAAGAAGUGUUGGAGGGAAUGCCAGCAUGGUGACGCUAGUCCGCGAAUAAGCCCCGGCUAAUUACGUGCCAGCAGCCGCGGUAACACGUAAGGGGCGAGCGUUGUUCGGAAUUAUUGGGCGUAAAGGGCGCGUAGGCGGCCGCGCAAGUCCGGCGUGAAAUACAGGGGCUCAACCCCUGGGCUGCGCUGGGAACUGCGAGGCUUGAGUCACGGAGGGGAAGCCGGAAUUCCUGGUGUAGGGGUGAAAUCUGUAGAUAUCAGGAAGAACACCGAUGGCGAAGGCAGGCUUCCAGCCGGUGACUGACGCUGAGGCGCGAAAGCGCGG